GUUGGUGGAGUGAUUUGUCUGGUUAAUUCCGUUAACGAACGAGACCUCGACCUGCUAAAUAGUACGAUUUAUCUUGUAUAGAUUGAGACUUCUUAGAGGGACUUUUGGUGGUUAGCCAAAGGAAGUUCGAGGCAAUAACAGGU
rnacentral:rRNA from 1 species